GACGAACGCUGGCGGCGUGCUUAACACAUGCAAGUCGAACGGUGAAGCUCCAGCUUGCUGGAGUGGAUCAGUGGCGAACGGGUGAGUAACACGUGAGCAACCUGCCCCUGACUCUGGAAUAAGCGCUGGAAACGGCGUCUAAUACUGGAUACGAGAAGGGUCCGCAUGGGCACUUUCUGGAAAGUUUUUCGGUUGGGGAUGGGCUCGCGGCCUAUCAGCUUGUUGGUGAGGUAAUGGCUCACCAAGGCGACGACGGGUAGCCGGCCUGAGAGGGCGACCGGCCAAACUGGGACUGAGGCACGGCCCAGACUCCUACGGGAGGCAGCAGUGGGGAAUAUUGCACAAUGGGCGAAAGCCUGAUGCAGCGACGCCGCGUGAGGGAUGACGGCCUUCGGGUUGUAAACCUCUUUCAGCAGGGAAGAAGCGAAAGUGACGGUACCUGCAGAAGAAGCACCGGCUAACUACGUG
rnacentral:rRNA from 1 species